GUUCUCGUGGCCUAGUGGUUAUGGCAUCUGUCUUACAAAGUUCCUUCUUUGAUCACAGAAGAUCCCCGGUUCGAUCCCGGGCGAGAACA
rnacentral:tRNA from 2 species